UACGUAGGGUGCAAGCGUUGUCCGGAAUUAUUGGGCGUAAAGAGCUCGUAGGUGGCUUGUCACGUCUGCUGUGAAAACUCGGGGCUCAACCCCGAGCCUGCAGUGGAUACGGGCUAGCUAGAGUGCGGUAGGGGAGACUGGAAUUCCUGGUGUAGCGGUGAAAUGCGCAGAUAUCAGGAGGAACACCGGUGGCGAAGGCGGGUCUCUGGACCGAUACUGACACUGAGGAGCGAAAGCGUGGGGAGCGAACAGG
rnacentral:rRNA from 2 species